UUGAAAUAUCUCUACAGGACGUAUUGUAGUGUGAAAGUCUUUAGUGGUCCUGUGAACCUUUCUCUGGCACGAUGAUGAAAUAUCAUCUCAGCAUCUUCCUACAGGUGGGCACUAAUUAGAGGACAGUGUUGUGACUGAUGACAGUGACCAUGAUGUCAUCAGUCACGACAUCUUCCAUGCUACAUCCCAAAAAAAAUCUUCUCUUGACAGAAGAUCUUGUGACGCUUGUUGUCUCCUCAGUGCGGAUGUCUCAGUCUGAGCCUGGCUUCAACAGGACAGACAGACUCUGUUACAAGUGUGUUAAAUCCUGACAACAUAAUCACCACCAACAUGGCUUGUUUGCACCUCUUUCCACUGCAGCACACUAAACCUGCUGCAUCGCUGUAGAAAAAUAUCUGCCUCAGGAAAUAGAAAAAAAAAAAAGGGCGCGGCUGCAGCGAUGAUGAGCUGCACACAGCUUCAUUAUCAGCGCCUCAGGGUGUGUUGGUGCGAGGUCCGUGUGUCACCGAGCCUCCGGCAGGACGACUGAACGCCGACACGCCGCUGACCAUCUUCACCGCCCGGAGACAAAAAAACAAGACUCGGAUGAUCGCUUCUGAUCUGCUCUCAGGUGCAGCGGUGUGACUUGAACUGCAGCCGGAUGUUUGCCAUCCUCGUUGGUUUGUAACAACUGAUGUUCACCUGACGCUGCCUGCAUCACGUGUUCGCAUCACAACAUCAACACACAUUAAACGUUAGCAACUGGCAAACCAGGUCACACCACAUUCACAUGUUUAUCAGGUCACCGGCUACGUGGCACAUCGCGCUCACAUCACGUGUUCAUGACCUGAUGUUGAUAUCGGGAGGUGCAGGACCUACAGGUGAGAAGGCUGCCGAGCCAGUGAGCUCAGUUUGAGACUGCGGGACAAUUUACAGGCAUGUUUGUGUGACAGAAAAAAGGUAUUUGAAGCAAAAAUUGUAAUCUUGUCCUGAUCCUAACUGAGUGGUUUUGGUGCCUAAACCUGUUCGGACCAUUAGCGUCGUUGGUAUUCUGCCAACUGUGUUGACGGAGUACAAACAUGGAACCAUAAAACACUCAAAUAUCUCGUAUUUAUCUGACGUGGGAUUUUAUAGAAGCUGCUUUCAUCCUCAACUGCACUGAAUUCGUAAACACUUUAAUCGUAAUCUUUCCUGGAG